rnacentral:lncRNA from 1 species
AAUAUGAGCUACAGCUUAUAGGAUGUGCAACUUUUGGAUGUGUUAUUGGCAUGUUUUAAAUGUCGUGAUCUCUGAUUGUGGCGCACUUGGAGAUAUGUUGGGUAUCAUUUAAUGGAUAGGAUGAACCAUAGAUGGAAUAAGAGUCUGAAUGCCGAGAAAUGAAAAUUAUAUUUCUAUGUUGACGAUGAUGAAGCAGCUGUGCUUCAUGUCAUCGGUCAUGUCCAACCAUUGGUUGCUCCCAUGACGACAGGCUGGUUUUUAUUGCCAGCAAUAGCUGGUCGGGCUUUACCUUUUGAAUGGGUAUAUGGUCAAUUCAUGAGAAGAAUUGGUCAAUAUUGCUGGUACUUUACUGAAAUGGAGAGUCAAGUAGCGAGCUUGCUUGGCUCAAUGCAAUUAUGCAAUGCAGGCUAUGCAAAUAAUACUGCUUUUUUCUUCGGUGAAGCACCAAAUGAACUUAAAGAAAAGGAAAAAUAGGGAGGUUUAAAAUAAGGGUUUUUUAUGUACAUGUCCUUCUAAAUAUUGAAAUUUGCAUGAAUACCCUUCCAAAAUUGAUAUUUGCAUGUAAAUCCUUAUAAAAUACUUGUUUUGCAUAUAUACCCUCCAUUUUUCUUUUUUCUUGCAUAUAUGCCGAUCCCAUCUAACGCCGUUAAGAAAUUAGUGGUUUAAAAUUAAAAAUGACUGAAAUAUCCUUAAUAGGUAGAUAUACAAAACGAUAUAUUUGAUAAGGGUAUAUAUGUAAAUAAUACUUUGUGAGGGUAUUCAUGCAAUUUCACAUAUUUAUGAGAGUUUACAUGCAAAAAAUCUAAUUUUAUUUUUUCUAUUUCAACCUGCU